AUUGAACGCUGGCGGCGUGCCUAAUACAUGCAAGUCGAACGCAGUGGGGACGGGUGAGUAACACGUGGGUAACCUCCCAUCAGAGGGGAUCACCCUUGGAAACAGGUGCUAAACCGAUACUGAUGGAUGAACCCGCGGUGCAUUAGCUAGUUGUUGAGGUAACGGCUCACCAAGGCCAAGAUGCAUAGCCGACCUGAGAGGAUGAUCGGCCACACUGGGACUGAGACACGGCCCAGACUCCUACGGGAGGCAGCAGUAGGGAAUCUUCGGCAAUGGACGAAAGUCUGACCGAGCAACGCCGCGUGAGUGAAGAAGGUUUUCGGAUCGUAAAACUCUGUUGUUAGAGAAGCGGUAUCUAACCAGAAAGCCACGGCUAACUACGUGCCAGCCGCCGCGGUAAUAC
rnacentral:rRNA from 1 species